ensembl:snRNA U4 U4 spliceosomal RNA
AGCUUUGUGCAGUGGCAGUAUCGUAGCCAAUGAGGUUUAUCCAAGGUGCGAUUAUUGCUAAUUGAAAAAACAACUCAUAUGGCAAACCAUCUAGGAUGGAUCAAAUUACAAUUUGGGUAUUUUGUGGAAUACUAUACAGA